UCCAAGGUCGUCUAAUGGUAGGAUAUGUAACUUUGAACAAUCUUCUUAAUUGUCUUGAUACAAGAUGAUGGUUCAAUUCCAUCCCUUGGAU
rnacentral:tRNA from 1 species